GAAUGGGUUGGGAUUUAUGACAGGCCCGUUCCUCUGGGCCUCUCAUAGUGUCCCAUGCUAGAGCAAUCCAGGGCCCCAAACCAUUGCCUGGCCUGUGUCUGUAGGCUGCUGACACUGAAGUGGGCCAUAAAGUU
ensembl:snoRNA Gm24696 small nucleolar RNA SNORA42/SNORA80 family